rnacentral:rRNA from 1 species
CCUACGGUGGGCAGCAGUGGGGAAUAUUGCACAAUGGCCGAAACCCUGAUGCAGCGACGCCGCGUGAGUGAAGAAGUACUUCGUUAUGUAAAGCUCUAUUAGCAGGGAAGAAAAUGACGGUACCUGACUAAGCAGCCCCGGCUAACUACGUGCCAGCAGCCGUGGUAAUACGCAGGGGGCAAGGGUUCUCCGGAUUGUAUGGGGGUAACGGGAGCGUAGUCGGCAGUGCAAGUCUGGAGUGAAAGGCGGGGGCUCAACCUCCGGACUGCUCUGGAAACUGUGCGGCUGGAGUGCAGGAGAGGUAAGUGGAAUGCGUGGUGUAGCGGUGAAAUGCGUAGAUAUUAGGAGGAACACCAGUGGCGAAGGCGGCUUACUGGACUGUAACUGACGUUGAGGCUCGAAAGCGUGGGGAGCAAACAGGAUUAGAUACCCGAGUAGUC